GUUUCUGUAGUGUAGUGGUUAUCACGUUUGUCUCACACGCGAAAGGUCCCCGGUUUGACCCCAGGUGGAAACA